CUAUACGCGAACAGACACACGUCCUCGUCUCUUCGCCUCCUCAUCUCGAUCCCUAAUUCUGCAGCCGCCGCAGGGAAUCGGCGACGAACGACGGCGAACUCGACGCCGUUUCAUCAGGUGAAUGUUGACAUCGGCCGACCGUCCACCGGUGCAUAAUCUUUAAUUUGCAAGUGUUGGCUCUUCCCAUCCCAGAACCAGGAGGAUAUGGAUAAAUUUUUUGUUGAAAGGGAAACGACCAGCACUAGAUAGUAAUGUGGCAGGGACUUCAAGGCUUGUUAGGCCAAGACAAGAUCUUGCUUCAAAUAUUGGUACUACUCCUCCGCCUCUGGCAGAAAUUAACUUAGAUGCACUUCCUCAUGAUCCAGCUGAUCGAAAAAGAAUAGGGCAGUACACAAAGAAUCCUAAGAAGCAAGAUGAGAUUAGAAGAAUAUAUUUAAAUAGAGGACCUUACAGACCACAAGAAGGCUUUAAAUAUCCUCAGAAAACCAUCGCAGGAGCUGAACAGAGAUAUAAUCCAAAAUGGUUUAAAGACUACCAUUGGCUAGAGUAUAGUGAUAAGGUGCAUAAGGCAUUUUGCGUGUGUUGCUAUCUAUUUAGAAAUUGCAUCGACGGCCAAGGUGGUAAUGAUGCAUUUGUUGUUAAAGGCUUCUCUUGUUGGAAUAAGAAACAAAGACUAGAUACUCAUGAGGGUGAAGUUAAUAGCUUUCACAAUGUAGCUGUUAAAAGUUGUGGUGCUAAUUUUGCCAGUUGCCACAACAUCAGUGGAGAGAUGCUUUUCAGCAAUGAAUAUCGUCAAGAGUGUUUUGCGGAACAAAAUGGGUGAUGAUUUCAUGAGUGAUUGCCUGAUUUGCUAUGUGGAGAAAGACAUAUUUUCUACAAUAACGAAUGAUGAUGUGAUUGAUCUAUUUAAGAAGAUGAAAGAUCGAGAAGGGAAGUUAUAAAAUAAAGUUACAAGUGAAACGUUCCAAAGUCAUCUUUUUGCCUAUUAUUUCUGGAAUAUGUAAAGAAGUGUUACUUUAUGACUUCGUUCAGCCAAUACUCGCUACUCGGUUAUUCAUGUGUGUACACGAUGGCUCCGUACUUGGUCUAUCCUGCAGAGGCUGGAGGACAGAGACCUUUUUAUGAUGACGUCUACACGGCUGGAGCAUACGGCCAGGGAGGUUUUCUACCUCCAUGGAUGACGGUGUGACCUACGGAUAGGAUCUGCCACUCCUUAGGCUGGACAUGUUUUUUUAUUGGCAUUGUAUCAAAUUAUUUUUUGCUUUUAGGGUACUUUGGAUUUUUUUGGCUGUGUGCAUCUAGCUAUGCAGAGGCCGGACUUUCU